GACGAACGCUGGCGGCGUGCUUAACACAUGCAAGUCGAACGGAAAGGCCCUGCUUUUGUGGGGUGCUCGAGUGGCGAACGGGUGAGUAACACGUGAGUAACCUGCCCUUGACUUUGGGAUAACUUCAGGAAACUGGGGCUAAUACCAGAUAGGAGCUCCUGCUGCAUGGUGGGGGUUGGAAAGUUUCGGCGGUUGGGGAUGGACUCGCGGCUUAUCAGCUUGUUGGUGGGGUAGUGGCUUACCAAGGCUUUGACGGGUAGCCGGCCUGAGAGGGUGACCGGCCACAUUGGGACUGAGAUACGACCCAGACUCCUACGGGAGGCAGCAGUGGGGAAUAUUGCACAAUGGGCGGAAGGCUGAUGCAGCAACGCAGCGUGCGGGAUGACGGCCUUCGGGUUGUAAACCGCUUUCGCCUGUGACGAAGCGUGAGUGACGGUAAUGGGUAAAGAAGCACCGGCUAACUACGUG
rnacentral:rRNA from 1 species